rnacentral:rRNA from 1 species
CGCUUGUUAGUUUGAUCCUUGCUCAGAUUGAACGGUGGCGGCAGGCCUAACACAUGCAAGUCGAGCGGAUGACAGGAGCUUGCUCCUGAAUUCAGCGGCGGACGGGUGAGUAAUGCGUAGGAAUCUGCCUGGUAGUGGGGGACGACGUUUCGAAAGGAACGCUAAUACCGCAUACGUCCUACGGGAGAAAGAAGGGGACCUUCGGGCCUUGCGCUAUCAGAUGGGCCUGGGUCGGAUUAGCUAGUUGGUGAGGUAAUGGCUCACCAAGGCGACGAUCCGUAACUGGUAUGAGAGGAUGAUCAGUCACACUGGAACUGAGACACGGUCCAGACUCAUACGGGAGGCAGCAGUGGGCAAUAUUGGACAAUGGGCGAAAGCCUGAUCCAGCCAUGCCGCGUGUGUGAAGAAGGUCUUCGGAUUGUAAAGCACUUUAAGUUGGGAGCAUGGGCAUUAACCUAAUACGUUAGUGUUUUGACGUUACCGACAGAAUAAGCACCGGCUAACUCUGUGCCAGCAGCAGCGGUAAUACAGAGGGUGCAAGCUUAAAUCGGAAUUACUGGGCGUAAAGCGCGCGUAGGUGGUUUGUUAAGUUGAAUGUGAAAUCCCCGGGCUCUACCUGGGAACUGCAUUCAAAACUGACAAGCUAGAGUAUGGUAGUGGGUGGUGGAAUUUCCUGUGUAGCGGUGAUGCGUAGAUAUCCAUGAU